UAGGGAAUCUUCCACAAUGGGCGGAAGCCUGAUGGAGCAACGCCGCGUGUGUGAUGAAGGGUUUCGGCUCGUAAAACACUGUUGUAAGAGAAGAAUGACAUUGAGAGUAACUGUUCAAUGUGUGACGGUAUCUUACCAGAAAGGAACGGCUAAAUACGUGCCA
rnacentral:rRNA from 1 species